CCCUCCUGCAAAGGCAUGUCUGUGGCUCCUCGUCUUUGGACACGUAAGAAUCGGAGGCACAGAAGUGUGGACCGAAGAGGUCUGGGGCCAGCGGGUGCCCUGUGGGCUCAAGUUCAACCAUCCCACAUAG